rnacentral:rRNA from 1 species
AUUGAACGCUGGCGGCAUGCCUUACACAUGCAAGUCGAACGGCAGCGCGGACUUCGGUCUGGCGGCGAGUGGCGAACGGGUGAGUAACAUAUCGGAACGUGCCCUGGAGUGGGGGAUAACUAGUCGAUAGACUAGCUAAUACCGCAUACGCCCUGAGGGGGCCAGUGGGGGAUGGCAAGACCUCCUGCUCGUGGAUCGGCCGAUAUCUGAUUAGCUGGUUGGUGGGGUAAAGGCCUACCAAGGCGACGAUCAGUAGCUGGUCUGAGAGGACGACCAGCCACACUGGGACUGAGAAACGGCCCAGACUCCUACGGGAGGCAGCAGUGGGGAAUUUUGGACAAUGGGGGCAACCCUGAUCCAGCAAUGCCGCGUGAGUGAAGAAGGCCUUCGGGUUGUAAAGCUCUUUUGUCCGGGAAGAAAUCCCAUCCCUGAAUACGGGGUGGGGAUGACGGUACUGGAAGAAUAAGCACCGGCUAACUACGUGCCAGCCGCCGCGGUAACAC